ACAGCUAUAUCACAUUGAAAGACUGCUUCUCAUAUGAUCACUGAAGUUAAGCAACAUUGAGACUGCUCAGUACUUAGAUGGGUGACUGCUUGGGAAUCCUAGGUGUC